rnacentral:rRNA from 1 species
AUUGAACGCUGGCGGCAGGCCUAACACAUGCAAGUCGAACGAGUGGCGGACGGGUGAGUAAUGUCUGGGAAACUGCCUGAUGGAGGGGGAUAACUACUGGAAACGGUAGCUAAUACCGCAUACCAUCAGAUGUGCCCAGAUGGGAUUAGCUUGUUGGUGGGGGAACGGCUAACCAAGGCGACGAUCCCUAGCUGGUCUGAGAGGAUGACAACCCACACGAGAGCUGAUACCCGGUCCAGACUCUGACGGGAGGCACGAGUGGGGAAUAUUGCACAAUGGGCGCAAUCCUGCUACAGCCAUGCAGCGUGUAUGAAGCAGGCCUUCGGGUUGUAAAGUACUUUCAGCGGGGAGGCGUUACCCGCAGAAGAAGCACCGGCUAACUCCGUGCCAGCAGCCGCGGUAAUUC